GAUGAACGCUGGCGGCGUGCCUAAUACAUGCAAGUCGAGCGAACGGACGAGAAGCUUGCUUUUCUGAUGUUAGCGGCGGACGGGUGAGUAACACGUGGAUAACCUACCUAUAAGACUGGGAUAACUUCGGGAAACCGGAGCUAAUACCGGAUAAUAUUUUGAACCGCAUGGUUCAAAAGUGAAAGACGGUCUUGCUGUCACUUAUAGAUGGAUCCGCGCUGCAUUAGAUAGUUGGUAAGGUAACGGCUUACCAAGGCAACGAUGCAUAGCCGACCUGAGAGGGUGAUCGGCGACACUGGAACGGAGACACGGUCCAGAGUCCUACGGGAGGCAGCAGAAGGGAAUCUGCCGCAAUGGGCGAAAGCAUGACGGAGCAACGCCGCGUGAGUGAUGAAGGUCUUCGGAUCGUAAAACUCUGUUAUUAGGGAAGAACAGAUGUGUAAGUAACUGUGCACAUCUUGACGGUACCUAAUCAGAAAGCCACGGCUAACUACGUG
rnacentral:rRNA from 1 species